AUUGAACGCUGGCGGAAUGCUUUACACGUGCAAGUCGAACGGCAGCACGGACUUCGGUCUGGUGGCGAGUGGCGAACGGGUGAGUAAUGUAUCGGAACGUGCCCAGUCGUGGGGGAUAACGUAGUGAAAAUUACGCUAAUACCGCAUACGAUCUAUGGAUGAAAGCGGGGGAUCGCAAGACCUCGCGCGAUUGGAGCGGCCGAUAUCUGAUUAGGUAGUUGGUGGGGUAAAGGCCCACCAAGCCAACGAUCUGUAGCUGGUCUGAGAGGACGACCAGCCACACUGGAACUGAGACACGGUCCAGACUCCUACGGGAGGCGGCAGUGGGGAAUUUUGGACAAUGGGCGAAAGCCUGAUCCAGCCAUUCCGCGUGCAGGAUGAAGGCCCUCGGGUUGUAAACUGCUUUUGUACAGAACGAAAAGGUUUCUACUAAUACUAGGAGCUCAUGACGGUACUGUAAGAAUAAGCACCGGCUAACUACGUGCCAGCCGCCGCGGUAA
rnacentral:rRNA from 1 species